AUGUUUUCUAGGAGGAAAAAGAAAGGAGCUGGAGAAGCCUGUUUGAUGUCUCCUGGGCUUUGGCUACGGAGGUCUGGUGUGGAUGUGCAUAUGUGAAGAUGUGCUGGUCUCUUCCUUCAGCAUGAAUAAUACAGACAGGAGCAAACCAUGAUUUUCAUGCAGAAGGGGCUUAUCAGACAAAGUGGGAGCCACCUGGUGAUGGAAUACGAUUUAAAAAAAACACCAAAAACCAAAACCCUGAAGUUGAGUGUGCCAGAUGAAAAUAUAAGAGAGGAAUCCCACAAUGCUGUCCGGAGCAGUCUGAUGUCUGUCUGUCUAGGAGUUGAUUUGACUUUCUGAAGAAAUGCCCUGGCCUAUAUGGUACCUUUACUUACAAGAAACAAGGUGGUCCCAAGGCAGACAUGGCCCCUCAGCAUAUGGCUCAGCAAGUGGGGCAGGAGCUGGACUUCAGCCACUACCAUCCCUCAGAAAACUGCCUGCUUUUCCUGCCCCCAGACUUUCUAUUCCUAUCUCACAUUAUUCAUCUUCUAAAUAUGCACAACACUCCCUCCCCCACCCCAGGAAAAGAAAGAAUAAAAUAAAAUGAAACACCCUCUUCAGUCUUCUUCACCUUCCCUCUGCAAGAACUCUAAUCCUUUCUUCAUGUGGAGAGAGGUUUUUCUAUCUGUCUCUGUAUAGAUGAUUCAAAUCUGUACCUUAGUCCCACCUCCCUCUUCAAAUCUCAGUCCUGUGUCUAGCAUCCCAGAUCCCAAGUCCACAGAGGAUGCAUAGUCUUUCCUCAGGCCAAUUGCCCCAGACAAUUCCAGUGUGCUAGUGGAGAUGUAUUCAUCCUAUUACCCAUGACAUACUAAAAAGUCAACCUGACAUCCUUCCCUGUCUGUAAUCAAACCUGGACCAUUGUCCUUUUCCUGCUGGUCCUUCUGCUCCACACUGAUCUAAGCCUUUAGCUUCUCAUGUCUGCACUCAGAUUUCACGUCAAGUGAAACAGUUUUCUGAUCAUGGUCCUUUUCCUUUCCUAGUGGUUCUUCCUGAGGGCAGUUUUGUGUCCCUUUGGGUGACCUAUGAUCACAGUUCUGGUUAUCACAACUGGCUGUGAGCUGCUGUUACCAAAUGGUUAGCAGAGGACAGGGAUGCUGAUAACCAUCCUAUAGAGCACAGGUUAGCCCUCGGAACAAAGACUUAUCAGCUGUGUCAAGAUGGAGAAACCAUGGUCUAUGUCUCUUCCUCCACACCCCUUGACGCCACAGCCUGAUUCUACUUCAGGAAAUGCAUUCUGCACAUACUUACCCCUCUCUUUAUAUAGAUAAAAAAGCCCAGUUUUCUAUACUCACAAAAGCUACCUCUGCCUAAGAUAGCUUCCGUUUUCCUUUUCAUGCCAGUAAAUCUUUCCAUUCUCUUAAAGCCCAUACACAGCCGCAUCGCCACACUGUGUGUUGGGUUGGUCGUCUUUGUCCCUUUAAGCCCACUCUUGAGUCGUCUCUGUCUUAGCCUGUGUAUCAGGAUGGCAGCUUCUGGGCUCUGAUGGUCUUCAGUGUCUGGUGAGUUUGGCCUAUGGGAGGAAAUAGUAGGUGUUUUUCCCCAGCUCUGAACCCAAGUCUCCUGCCUUGGAUGUCCGGCAUCCGCUCCGAUCUAGCACCUCUUCUUCCACUCACCAUUCACCUACCUUUGCUUGUGGAUUUAUUGACUUUCAGAUGGCCUUUUACCAUGCAGACCAGGCUGUCUUCACACUCAUGAGUCUCCAGCCUCAGUCUUUGGGGUGUUGGGUUUACAGGUAAGGAUCUUCACUCCAAGCGACAUGCAAUUCUCUUUGUUCAUUUGUUUUUUAGUUUUUCAAGACAGGGUUUCUCUGUGUAGCCUUGGCUGUCCUGGAACUCAUUCUGUAGACCAGGCUGGCCUUGAAUUCAGGGAUCCAGCUGCCUCUGCCUCCCGAGUGCUGGGAUUAAAGGCAUGCUCUGCCAUAUCUGGCUUGACAUGCAAUUCUGAUAGGCCCCAGAAGUACUGUUUCCUCAGGGGUUGUACUUCACUGGUUUUACUUACUGCUUGCCUUCCUAGGUCUAGGGAUAGCAACUAUUUCCCACAACUACUGGUCCUUGGGUUUACCACUGUGAUCAGUUUGGUAAACUCUGCCAGUCCUCAAUAAAUAUUUUCUUAGCUAAACUUUCCUUUUAAAAGAUUUUUUUAAAUGUUUACGUUAUUUGUAUGUGUGUACAUGUUUUGUCUGGAUGUAUGUCAGUGUAUCAUAUGUGUACUUGGUGUCCACAGAGGCCAGAAGAAGGCGUUAGAUCCUCUGGAACUGGAGUUACAGGUGAUUGUAACUGCUGCCCCAUGCUAAGUGGGUGCUGGGAAUUGAACCCAGGUCUUCUGGAAGAGCAGCCAGUGCUCUCAACCACUGAGUCAUCUCUCUGGCCCAGCUAAGCUUUCUUGAGUGUACCAUAUGCUCCUUACUGGAUCCCCACUGCCACAGGAGAAUUCUCUCUCCUCUGGGCUCCUAAUUCUGAGCUGGCUGUUGGGAUCACUCCUUUGCCAUUCAGUGUGGAUGGAUGCCCUACAGUGUGGUGAUCUAUUUAUGUCUACUAUUUUCUGUGUUUCUACAUUCUCUUGGCAUAGUUCCACACUCAGCAAAUGUUUACCCGUGAAAAUUAUGAGUUUCCUAAGCAAAGUGAAUUUAAAUUAAUUCUUUUGUACCAGAAUUUUUUUGAGGGGACCUGAACUCAGAGACGGUUCUUUGGUGGUUCAGAACUGAGCAAAUCAUGGACCCUGUGAUAUGAAUUUUGCUGUUCAGACGCUUAGUUCCGUUUAAGUUCUGGUGCCAGAAGAAGUUCUGUCUAUGUGUUGCUGCUGAAUAAGGAAUUCUCAUUAAAAUGGAUGGUUUCUGGAUUGUCUUCCUCCCUGGAAACCAAUUUUGCCUUCCUCUGGGACUCUGCCUCACUAUCCUGCUGCUGGUCUGCAGGGAGCCAGUGUUCUACUUGUCCCUGGGUCUAAAGCCUAGUGCCACACUGUGCCCAAGCCGUGCUUAAUAAAUGCCUCUUUGUCCCAUGA